rnacentral:rRNA from 1 species
CCCAGACUCCUACGGGAGGCAGCAGUGGGGAAUAUUGCACAAUGGGCGCAAGCCUGAUGCAGCCAUGCCGCGUGUAUGAAGAAGGCCUUCGGGUUGUAAAGUACUUUCAGCGGGGAGGAAGGUGUUGAGGUUAAUAACCUCAGCAAUUGACGUUACCCGCAGAAGAAGCACCGGCUAACUCCGUGCCAGCAGCCGCGGUAAUACGGAGGGUGCAAGCGUUAAUCGGAAUUACUGGGGGUAAAGCGCCCGCAGGCGGUCUGUCAAGUCGGAUGUGAAAUCCCCGGGCUCAACCUGGGAACUGCCGUCGAAACUGGCUGGCUUGAGUUUUGUAGAGGGGUGUAGAAUUCGCGGUGUAGCGGUGAAAUGCGUAGAGAUCUCGAAGAAUCCCGGUGGCGAAGGCGGCCCCCUGG